UACGUAGGGGCCUAGCGUUGUCCGGAUUUAUUGGGCGUAAAGAGCGUGUAGGCGGCUGGGUAGGUCCGCUGUGAAAACUCGAGGCUUAACCUCGAGACGUCGGUGGAAACCCUCCAGCUAGAGUCCGGAAGAGGAGAGUGGAAUUCCUGGUGUAGCGGUGAAAUGCGCAGAUAUCAGGAAGAACACCCGUGGCGAAAGCGGCUCUCUGGGACGGUACUGACGCUGAGACGCGAAAGCGUGGGGAGCGAACAGG
rnacentral:rRNA from 1 species